rnacentral:rRNA from 1 species
GCAGUCGAACGGCAGCACGGACUUCGGUCUGGUGGCGAGUGGCGCACUGGGUGAGUAAUAUAUCGGAACGUGCCCAGUCGUGGGGGAUAACGUAGUGAAAAUUACGCUAAUACCGCAUACGAUCUAUGGAUGAAAGCGGGGGAUCGCAAGACCUCGCGCGAUUGGAGCGGCCGAUAUCAGAUUAGGUAGUUGGUGAGGUAAAGGCUCACCAAGCCAACGAUCUGUAGCUGGUCUGAGAGGACGACCAGCCACACUGGAACUGAGACACGGUCCAGACUCCUACGGGAGGCAGCAGUGGGGAAUUUUGGACAAUGGACGCAAGUCUGAUCCAGCCAUUCCGCGUGCAGGACGAAGGCCUUCGGGUUGUAAACUGCUUUUGUACAGAACGAAAAGGUCUCUAUUAAUACUAGGGGCUCAUGACGGUACUGUAAGAAUAAGCACCGGCUAACUACGUGCCAGCAGCCGCGGUAAUACGUAGGGUGCAAGCGUUAAUCGGAAUUACUGGGCGUAAAGCGUGCGCAGGCGGCUUUGCAAGACAGAUGUGAAAUCCCCGGGCUCAACCUGGGAACUGCAUUUGUGACUGCAUGGCUAGAGUACGGCAGAGGGGGAUGGAAUUCCGCGUGUAGCAGUGAAAUGCGUAGAUAUGCGGAGGAACACCGAUGGCGAAGGCAAUCCCCUGGGCCUGUACUGACGCUCAUGCACGAAAGCGUGGGGAGCAAACAGGAUUAGAUACCCUGGUAGUCCACGCCCUAAACGAUGUCAACUGGUUGUUGGGGAGGGUUUCUUCUCAGUAACGAAGCUAACGCGUGAAGUUGACCGCCUGGGGAGUACGGC